rnacentral:rRNA from 1 species
UACAGAGGUCUCAAGCGUUGUUCGGAUUCAUUGGGCGUAAAGGGUGUGUAGGUGGCGCCGUAAGUCGGGUGUGAAAUUUCGGAGCUUAACUCCGAAACUGCAUUCGAUACUGCGGUGCUUGAGGACUGGAGAGGAGACUGGAAUUUACGGUGUAGCAGUGAAAUGCGUAGAGAUCGUAAGGAAGACCAGUGGCGAAGGCGGGUCUCUGGACAGUUCCUGACACUGAGACACGAAGGCCAGGGGAGCAAACGGG